CCUACGGGUGGCAGCAGUGAGGAAUAUUGGUCAAUGGGCGCGAGCCUGAACCAGCCAAGUCGCGUGAGGGAGGACGGCCCUACGGGUUGUAAACCUCUUUUGCCGGGGAGCAACGGGCGCCACGAGUGGCUUCACUGAGAGUACCCGGAGAAAAAGCAUCGGCUAACUCCGUGCCAGCAGCCUCGGUAAUACGGAGGAUGCGAGCGUUAUCCGGAUUUAUUGGGUUUAAGGGGUGCGUAGGCGGCUCGUUAGGUCAGGGGUUAAAUUGAGGGGCUCAACCCCUUGCGGCCGUUGAAACUGGCGUUCUUGAGUGGUAGAGAAGUAUGCGGAAUGCGUGGGGUAGCGGUGAAAUGCAUAGAUAUUACGCAGAACCCCGAUUGCGAAGGCAGCAUGCCGGCGUCCGACUGACGCUGAAGCACGAAAGCGUGGGGAUCGAACAGGAUUAGAUACCCCUGUAGUC
rnacentral:rRNA from 1 species